UCUUGGUGGUGUUUUAUUUUGUACACAACCCACAAAACAGAUAAUGACUCAAACAGUCGUCGAAAAUUGAUACACGUGAUGUUUUUUUUCUUGGAAUUUUCUCACCAAUUCUCUGAUACCAUGUGAGAAAUAAUAGAGAAAAAUAUUAUUGAAUUUUUGUCUGCAUAAUUACAUUGUCAUCCUAUUUAUAGACACUACAAUACAAUCCUUUUCGAAGUAGGAUUUUGUAUACUAUUCCUAUUCCUACUCAUAUUCUAACAGUAUCUCUGUUAUUUUCAUCUUUGUUUUAUACUUUUGACAAUUUUAUUUACUAUCCUUUUGUCUUGAGCCGGGGGUCUAUCGGAAACAGCCUCUCUACUUCUUUGGAGGUAGUGGUAUGGACUGCAUACAUUUUACCCUCCCCAGACCCCACUAUGUGGGAAUAUACUGGGUUUGUUGUUGUUGUUGUUGUUGAUUUAAAGUUGUCAUAUGGAAGGGGAGCCUUGGAGCAACUGGUAAAGUUGCUGCCAUGUGACCAGGAGGUCUGGGUUCAAACCUUGGAAACAGCUUCCGACAGAAAUGCAAGGUAAGGCUGCAUAAAAUAGAUCCUUAUGGUCGGGCCCUUCCCUGGACCCUACACAUAGCGGGAACUUUAGUGCACCGGGCUGCUCUUUUUUUUUUUUUUUUAAUUUAAAGUUGUCAUAUCUAGGGAAAACUAAAUUCGUUAGAGAAAUCAAAUCGUUUUUCUGUUUCCUUUUAUUUAUUUUGCUAAAUCUAGAAGAACUAAAGAUGAUACGACAAAUCAGAUCUUUCUCGUCCCCCCGCGCCCCCUCCUCUUGUGAAAUAUCUACUCUUUAUUUUUGUAUUUCACUUUUGAUAUCUUCAAUUUAAAAUUUCUAAAAGUAAAAAGGAACUCAAUUUUUUCAAGUUUCCAUUCAAAUCUUAACUAUGUUCUAAUUCUAUGUUUGUUUUGAUUAAUAAUCUGAGAGUAAUUUUUAAUUGUUAAGAUGGAUCUUAGAUAUAACAUUUUAACUUUAUGCAGUUAAGGUUCUAAUUUUAUUUUGAAUUUCCAUGAAAGAUUGAGAUAUAAUUCUUCCUUAUUAAGUUGAAUUUUGACUUGUAGGAGUAUAAUGUUGAUAAGCUUUUAGUUCCAAGUAAUUUGAUGACUUUAGAGAAUUAUUUCUAAUUUUUGAUUUCCAUGAAAGAGAUUGAUUUACUCUUUUUUUACUUAAAAGAUACAAGUACAUGAUAGAAUUGUGUAGAAAGAACAGUUCUCAAAGAAAAGCUUACAUUGGCAUCAAUAUUCUAUGUCAUUUUAUUGAUAAAUAUUGGAUAUAUACCUAUGUACUGCACUAGAAUUAUAAAGCUAUUGCCUACUAGUAGUAGGACAGAAGGUGGUUAUUUCAGUAAUUUGCCACAUUUGGUUAAUUUUCAGGAGGCUGAGGCAAUUUUGGAGGAAAUCAACCCAACACCAUCACAACUUGUUGGAUAUGGAGUGGUAAGACUUUCUGAAUGUAUGACAUGCAAUUGAAGUCUUAUAAAUUUGUAUUGAUUCAAACAAAACCAUAUAGGUUAUAGUUACAAGCAACAUCUAGGCUUGGUUAGCAAAAAGAAAAAAAUUUCUAUAGGGACUUUAAAAAUUGUCUCAGCGUCCUGUAUUUGUUAUAAACAUUCUGAAACACCAAAAAUGCAAAAGUUGAAUACAAUUAUGCUUUAUCAUCUUGACAGAGUUGCUUUUGUUUUCAAAACUUCUUGAGUUCCUCUCUUUCCAUAUCACCAAAUACAUCCUGGAAUCAUUUUCCAGAUCUUUUUUGGGGCUUUAGAUCCUCCUCUCCUGCUCCAGCUAUUUAGCACAUCCAGUGUAUUGGUGAACAUUGCCCAACUCAAUCCAAUCUUAGCUAGAAAGAUGUCCCACAACUGAGAGGUCACGUUGCAAUGCAAAAAAAGAUGGCUAUUUGUUUUUGCAUAAUCUCUAAAUAGAAGGCAAAUAGAGCAUAGGUGUAUGCCCUUUCUUUGCAUCCUGUCUUGUGUUAAACAAGCUCUCUUUACCACCAACCAUACAAAGCAUGCUACUUUGUAUGGUAUGUUUGCCUUCCUUAGUUGUCUCCAGGGCCAUUGUGUCCUAAGUUGCUUGAACUCUCUAAAAAUGUUGUCACACCCGUGUCGGAUCCUUCAAAAAUACACUGUUUUUGAAGGAUCCGACUCACAUCUGUUGACAUUUUUGAAGAGUCCGAGCAACAUAGAUUGUGUCUAUAUGUUGCUGUAAUUUUUCCAAUGAUAUGCUGACCUUACUGAUAUGCUGACCUUACUGAAUAAACUUUUGUUCUAUCUCCCAACCAACAUAAUCUAUUGUGAUCCAGUGACACUCCAUUGAAUUGGUUAAGACUAUUGAAAAAUGCAAUGAAUCUAUCCAGCUCCUAAUCAUUCAAAUGUUUUCUAAAAGUGAGGUUCCAUCCUUGAUUAUUCCAUACCUCACUAGCUUUUGACCUUUCUUGUUGGUUCAGCGUGUAAACUAAACUUCAGGAUACAAUUGCUUUAAAGGGCCAUUGCUUACCAAUUAUCUUCCCAAAAAGAGAUUCUUUGCCCAUUCUCUAUUUUAUAUUUGAUGUUGAUGCUGAAAAUGUUCCACAAGUUUCUGAUGGUCUUCCAGACACCAACCCCAUACACCGUGCUUUCAACUUUGGUUUUCCAGCCAUCCUUUUCUCCAUAGUUUUCCUUAAUUACUUUCUUCCAUGGUUCUUGAUCUUUAUUUGUGUAUAUCUAGAGCCAUUUCAAACGAAGGCUUUGGUUUUGCUUUCUUAAGUUCCUUAUGCCCAGCCCUCCUUAUUUCUUGUUGAGUGUUAAUAUUUUCCAUUUGACAAGAUGUAUACCCUUCUUCUCUUUGUUGCCUUGCCAUAAGAAGUUGCUUCUCAGUGUGUCCAACUUUUUUUCAACCUGUGGUGGUAUAGGAAAGAGGGGCAUCAUGUAGGCUAAAAAUGAGUAUAAGUCUGCCACCUAAAGAUAGUAUCGACUCUUCCAUCUAGUGAGUUUUUUCUCACAUUUUCAAGCACUACUUUCUAGAUGUCAAUGGAUCUACAACGUGCCCCCAAGGUCAUACCAAGGUAUGUUGUGGGCAAUGUGCCUACUCCUCCUCCUAGGAUAUCUACACAGAGCUGAAAGUUUUGAGGUUCAUUAACCAGAAACAUGAGGCUCUUCCUCUAGUUUAAAUGUAAUUCACAGACUCCUUCUGAUAACGAUCUCAACAGAGUGACUAAAAUCAAUAUCAAAAAUGCAGAAAAUCAACAAUACAAAAUAAAGAUAGUGGAGAAAUAAAAGAUGAGAAUUAGAAGAAAGAAGGCUAAUUAAAUCAAUUAACCAAGGAAGAAGAGAACUUGAUUUCAAUUAGAAUUGAGAAACCCAAUUGGAAUCCACAAAUGAGUAACUCUUGUGAAAAUCAAGGUUAAGAAGUUUUAGAUCAACAACAGGAUUCCACCCAUCACUAAUCACACUAACCCUAUGGCUUCACUAACGGGAUUCCGUCCUGCACUCUCAAAGGAGUUCAAUUUUCCAUUCAUCAAAUUCUAAGGAUGGAAAAUGGAUAUGACAACUAUUUAGAUUUAUUACCUUUACACAAAUAGCCUAUUACAAAAAAUAACCCAAAAGUGGCUAAUUAGGAAAUAACCCACUAGGGCCCUUCUUGAUUGCCAAAUAGCUUCUUGAUCGCUCAUGUACCUGUGUAUUUGUUGCUCCAUAGUAUCCUCGGGUUCCAAGCUAUCAUCCAUAUGUAGAAGCCCCGUCUAAUGAUCCCUAUGCUAACCAUGCUCGUACAUCCUCCCCUUCUUCAAAAGGAUUCAUCCUCGAAUCCGAACCUUGCAAAAACCUAUGAAGGACAAGCAAUGAAGAAAUCCUCAUAGCAUGAGGGUUAGCACAAAGGUUAACACCAAUAUCAUCAUACCAAGGAGGCACAAAUUUGAAAUGCAACUAAGAAUCCUUUGUGUUCUAUAAGAGAAAUGCAUUGUACGAAGUACAAAGGAUCCGACUAUAAGAAAUAUCAUGGAACAAAGAAUCAACAAAGGUCCAAACACAAUUGUUUCCCUAUUCUGCCAUAAAAUCAUACCAAAGGUGGUUCAACAUUGGUUCAAACACCCAUAAGGGUUUACCCAAGUCAAAGAUAUGAAAGACCCGCAUAGUUUGGUCGCAAAAGUAAAUGGACCAACCCAAGAAACCCCUACCUCUAUAUAAAACAAAUCCAAUACAAAAAGGGACAUCAUCAUACGCAAAGAGGUAGUAGAGAAAGGAAACAAAAAUAUGAACCUCAUCCAAGAUCUUAUCAUAUACAAGAGUACCAACUUGCUCAAGAGAUCUAGCAAGCAAAUCACUACAAGUUGGAAUAUCCAAGGAUGGAAUAAUGACUUUUAGGUACACAUUACCCUUUCUUUCAAGACAACUUCCCAUGGGAAGUGAGUUCACAAAUGGAGUCAUGCCCACUAGAGGUGUUGAGGAAUAAUUCAAUCCAAAACCAGUGGUCCUCCCAACAAGUUGUGUUCCCUUUAUUCAUGAUAUUAAGCAUGCUCCUAAGAGUCCCAUUCAAUACUUCAAAUUAUUUAACCCUAUGAAGGUGACAAGAAGUCUUGAACAUCCAUGGAAUCUUCCAAGUCACGACUCACUUGUCAUCUUGACCGAGCAACACAUCAUAAGUGCCUUAUUUCAUUUCAUUAUCGGGGUCAAAUAGAAAGAUAUUCCAUGAAAACGACUUAAGAAAACACCCAUAUGCCCCAUUUGUAUUAUCUUCACACAACAUACUCCACUCAAAGUCAUAAGUAUCAUCAUAUGCAAACAAAUAAUAUGUAAAGGUGCCAUACAAGUCAACUUCAUCUAAUGUAUUCUCAUGAGAAGGUUCGCUCGUUGAUUCAAGUACAUUAAGUCCUUGACUAAGUAUGGGAACACAUAAAGAUGAAGGGAUAAUUAUAGCACAUACCUCACCUUCAUUUUGAACACCAACCCUUCCAAUAAACGUACUAUCAUCUUCCAAGAAAAGAUUUCUGCCAUUUAAAAGUGUGACGUCACACCAUAGUGGAUUUUUUUCAAACAAUUGGUAACCUUCAAGAGUGGCUACACUUUUAACACUAUAAGACACCACUAUGCUCAUCAUUGAAUAAGAGAUUAUCCCUAAGUUCAUAUUCCACCUCAAGAUCCUCGUGACAAGAAUAAAAAAUAGAAUCAAUACCCAAGGAAUCACCACCUUUAAGUAAAGAUCCUACAUGAUUAAUUACAUGAUCAACUAUAUCAUUACCAUCGCUAAAUUGAGGUUCAUUUAUUGCAUCACACAACUCUUUAAUUAGUAGGUCAUAUUUACAAGCAAAUUGGUUAUCACCACAAUUAACACUAGUUGGUAACAUGUUGAGCUUAAAAACAUCUAGCACAUGAUUACCACAAUUGUACACAACUAGUAUUCGACUACCACUAUCACAUGACAAUACACUUUACUCAAGUCAUAAGUGCUAACACUAGGUGGACUCAAAUCAAUCUUAGUAGAAGAAUCAAUCCGGUCAUCUAUAGGAUCAACUAGUGUUUGGACACCGAUAUCAAUGACAUUAUUAUCAUGCAAUAAGGUGCCAUCAUUGACAUCACAAAGAAAAAGCUCCUUAAGCACAUACACAUACAAGCUAUCAUGGCCAACCAGCAUUUGACCAACCCUGUUACAUGACAAUACAUUUUUAUGCAAGUCACAAAUGCUAAGACUAGGUGGACUCAAAUUGAUCAUACUAGAAAAAUCAAUUCGGUCAUCUAUUGGAUCAACUAUUGUUUGGGCACUCACAACAAUGACGUUAUCAUCAUACAACAAAGUGCCAUCAAGAUCAUCACAAGGCAAAAAAUCUUUAAGCUCACACAUAGACAAUCCAUCACUUACACUCAAUUGGCUACUAGCCAAACAAGAAUCUUCUAGUUUUGAGAAAGUGUAAGGUUUAGUUUUGUUACCUUGUAGAUCAUAGAAAGUAUUACAUUCACCUUGCUUUUCAACAUUGAUGCACAUUUGCUCCUUUGGAAAGCUUUCUAGCACCACAUAAUUCUUCAUUGCUCGAGGUGCCUCUCUAGGCUUGUCUCCAAGGAUACCUACACAAGAAUCGAAACAACUAGAAAAGGAAGAGAUGUUACAAAAGCUAGUAUAAGGUUGUGACAACCCUGUCACAUCACUCCACACAAUCUCUCCCUUUUCCACUCUAGAGUUGUCACAUAUGACACCCUUACUCCUCUCAAUCUUUUGUCACUCAAUUUUAUUAGAGUUCGGAUAAGUGCUACAGAUCCCUAGUGAAGGGUUUGGAGAUCCCUUCAACUCUAGCUUCCACUUGGGUGCACGAGGAGCGGAUGUAUUGACUUGCAUGUUCAACUCCUUAGCACCAACCUCAGAAGGAGUAGCUUGUUUUGCCUCCAAAGGCAACUCCUUAGAUUUAGCUUCACAAUGCGUAAUUUGUUUUCUUUGAAAUAUUGACUUGGCCUUUUCAAGUAGUCGAGAGCAAUCAUCCAAUUUUUCAUCCCAUAUUUCAAAUUUUUCAUCCAACUCUUCCCUCAACUCAGUAAUGCUUUUACUUGCAUCGACUUCAUUAGGGCGUGUUGGAGAAAAGAGAAGUUGCCCUUUGAGAUCCAUGAUGUAAUAGUAUCAAUCUUGUGUAUAUGGAAGUCCAUGAAUUUGGAACCAUAGAAUUUCCUAACACAUUUGACAAGCAUCCAAGGGCACUACAUCACACUAAACCUCCUCUUGAUAAUUUCCAAGUGAAAUAUAGAUACCUUAACUCUCAUAUCAACCAAAAAUUUCAUUCGAGUAACAAAUGGGUUUUGUUUUGGAAAGAAAGGCAACCCAAACAUGCUAACCAUUAAGGGGUUAUAGAGUUGAUAACACUAUAAUAAUCCAUCACAACUUCAAGCUCCGCUUUCCCAUAAAUGAUCAUUUUUGUUUCAAGAACCCGUCUUUUCGGAACAUGCAUAUUUUGAAACAUUGAGUUUGCUUUACUCUCAUGGACUAUUAAUCUUUCCCAUCCUAUGUGGAAAACUCAACAAACAAAUUAGUAGAAAAAUUCCUCAUGCCUCUCAUAUGUGGAAACUCUCAACUUUUACCUAAAGUGUCUUUCUGAAGUUGAUAAAGAACUACUAUUGUCCAAUCAAUUCACAAGGUCACUUAUUCUUUGUGGACGAAUGGAAUUUUGUUCAAACAAGAACGGACGACUCCAUUAAAACUUACGGACUUGAGUCAAGAAAAUUAACAAGGAAAUAAAAUGAGAAAAGCACACAAAGAAAAACACAAGGAAAAAAAUCGGGCUCAAAGAACUUGAUAAUAUUUAGAAGGGUGAUUUACUAAUUAAAAUCAAUUUGAAGCUAAAGAAAAGGAAAAAUUAAGAAAAAAAAAACUAAUUUACCCGAUUUAGACUAAAAAAGUUAAUUGGGAAGAAAUUUAAUUGAAAUCCAUGAAGAAAACAGAAAGUGGAGAAAUCUGAAAAAGAGCUAAAAAUUGAGCUGAAAAUCCAUAGCAAAAGGACCUAUGGGGAAGCUUACAAGAAUUGUACCAUGUUCUCCCCUUUGUACUACCUUUUGUCACAGUCUUUGCCAUUUUUGGUCUUUUCCUUUAUACAAACAAGUUCACCUCCUUUUCUUCUCCCCUUUUUGGAUCAAACAACACCUUUUGAAUAAUUCUUCUUCAACAAGACAUGAAUUCACGAAGAACACCAAGAAUAUGGAUGAACAUCAAAAAAUUAUAUCUCCUUCAUUUUAGCUCCAAAUUCUACAAAUUUUGAGAUUUAAGCUCCUAUUGAUAUGGAAAUCAAACCCCAAUACUUUUAGAUCCUCAAUUCCAACGCAAUCAUAUCAAAUUUUUGGACCCAUUUUCUUUUUCUUCAAGCUAUGAAGAACACCAUUAACAAAAUGAACUCCAAAAUUGACAGCUACUUCGUUUUAGCUCAAAUUUGAUGAAAUUCGAGAUUCAAGCUCCCUUUGCUAGAGAAAACAAACCCCGAUGCUUUUCAAGCUCUAAUUUUAAUUCAAAAUUUUCAGAUUUCGGAAGUCAUUUCAAAUUAUAAAGAACACUAUGAAGAUGAUGAACUUCCAAAAUUGACCCUAAUGUAUUUCAACUGCAUUUGCGCUCAAAUUUCAAAUUUGUUCUCUUUUUGAUAGAGAGAACAAAUCCCAAUACAAAUAAACCUUCAAUUCCACCUAGAUCAAGCCCACUUUAUUUUCCUCAAGUUUUUUCAAGCUCAACAAUGGUGAAAAUUAGAAACUCUUUUUAAAUCAGCCCGGAUUAUCAGACCUAGAUCCCUAAACACUAGAAUAACACGAAUCUAGUGAUAGAAGCACAAAUAAAACUCAAAUCGACUAAUUUUUUUUGAAAUUUUCCAAAAAUAUUUGUCACCAAUUUUUUUUUAAAUUUUCAGAUUUAUGAACGUAGGAUUGAGAUCCGUAGAAACGAAUCUCUAACCUAAGCUAUGAUACCAAGAUGAUAACGAUCUCAAUUGAGUGACUAAAAUCAAUAUCGAAAACGCAGAAAAUCAAUUGUUAGAAUAUAAGUAGGAAUAGGAACAAUAUACGAAAUCCUACUUGAAAAAGGAUAGUAAUGUAGUAUCUAUAAAUAGGAUCUCAAUGUAAUAAUUGAUAUACAAUUCAGUAAUAUUCUCUCAUAUUUCUCACAUGGUAUCAGAGCAGGUUUGGUGAGAAAAUUACUGGGAAAAAAACUCAAUAAGACAGCCCGAUACUUCAAUUUUCGGCGACUGUCAAGUCCAAGAGCCCUCGUUUAUUUUAUAAGUGUUGUGUGCAAAAACCAACAUCACCACGAGGUGAGAAACACCCAAGCGAGCAAACCCCAGUGCUCGAAUCUCAUCUCUAGCGAUCCAUGCGGCGCCGAAAUUUUCAGAUGUGCGCCUCACGCACUGCAUGAGCCGGCACAUGCAAUAUAUUUCAGCCAGAUUUAUUUUUCAGUCAGGUCGCCCCUUCAUUCCAAGGCUGUACCGAUAGCUAUUUCUUGAUUCUAGCAAUCAAAUUCAUUUUUUUUCGAUGACUAACCAAUUUUUUUUUUUUUUUUGGGUGACUAACUUUGUCAAUUUAAUCCUAUGAUUAAAUCUGAACCCUUAAUGAGGAGAUCAGAAAAUCAAACAUCACAGUCCAUGAAGAAUCGACGAGGGGGAGGUCGAUUUGAAAGAUCUCGACCUGGGUGUAGUUAUUGUAAAAGGCUUGGGCAUACUUGUGAUUUGUGCUAUUCUCGACCUAAGUGUAGUUAUUGUAAUAAGCUUGGACAUACUCGUAGAAUAUGUUAUUCUUUGCAUGGUCUACCCCCUAAAAAUAUUCAUGUUGCUCAGUCUAACACCGCAAGUGAUCAACAGGUGUAUUUAUCUGACAAGGAAUAUCAUAAGUAUCAAGCAAGUAAGCAUACAUCUCUAUCAAUAGUCUCAACUGCAUAAUCUCCUACCUUUGGAUCAUGGGUUGUGGACUCAGGUGCUUCUGAUCAUAUUUCUGGCAAUAAGUCACUUCUGACUGAUAUUAUUUAUUCAUAGUCCCUUCCAGCUAUUACUUUAGCCAAUGGGAUCCGAACAAAACCAGAAGGAGUUGGACAAGCCAAACCUCUAUCUUCUGUUACUCUAGACUCUGUUCUUUGUCCCUGGUUGCCCUUUUAAUCUUGCAUCUAUUAGUCGUUUGACACAUGCCCUUAAUUGUAGUAUAACUUUUUUGAUGAUUCUUUUCUAAUGCAGGACCGUAGUACGGGACAAACGAUUGACACAGGACAUGAAUCACAAGGCCUUUGCCAUCUUACCUCUUCAAAUUCCUUCACAUCAUGCUCCGUUAUAGACCUUCCAAACUUUAUUCACAAACGUUUAGGACAUCCGAGUCUCUCUAAACUACAGAAGAUGGUGCCUAAUUUGUCUAGUUUAUCCACAUUAGAUUGUGAGUCGUGUCAACUUGGGUAACACACCCGUGCUCCAUUUUCACGUAGUAUUAAGAGUCAUUCAGAGUCUAUUUUCUCAUUAGUUCAUUCUGAUAUUUGGGGUCCUAGUAGAGUUUAUUCAACCUUAGGAUUUCGUUACUUUGUUAGUUUCAUUGAUGAUUUCUCACGAUGCACUUUCCUAAUGAAAGGUAGUUCUGAGUUAUUUUCUAUAUUCAAAAGUUUUUGUGCUGAAAUACUAAAUCAAUUUGGUGUCUCUAUUCGUACUUUUCGUAGUGAUAAUGCCUUAGAAUACGUAUCCUUCCGGUUUCAGGAAUUUAUGACUCACCAAGGAAUUAUUCACCAGAUGUUAUGUCCAUACACCCCUCAGCAGAACGACAUAGAAGAAAGGAAAAAUAGGCAUCUCAUUGACACUGCUUGCACUUAUCUCAUUGAAUCCCAUGUUCCGCUGCGUUUUUAGGGCGAUGCAGUCCUGGCAUCUUGCUAUCUCAUUAAUAGAAUGCCAUCAUCUCCGAUUCAGAAUCAGGUUCCCCAUUCCAUACUAUUUCCUCAGUCACGUCUCUACUCUAUCCCCCCUUAUGCUUUGGGAGCACGUGUUUUGUUCAUAACUUAGCUCCAGGGAAAGAUAAAUUAGCCCCUCGUGCUCUCAAAUGUGUCUUCCUUGGUUACUCUCGAGUUCAAAAAAGGUAUCGAUGUUAUUCACCUGAUUUGGGUCGCUACCUUAUGUCCGCCGAUGUCAUAUUCUUCGAGUCUCAACUUUACUAUACAUCUUCUGAUCAUCUUGAUAUAUCUGCAGUCUUACCCAUACCUUCCGUCUUAUCCACACCAACCUUUGAGGAAUCUGCAGUUACUUCUAUUUCUCCAGCUGCAGUGCCACCACUUUUGAUUUAUCAUUGCCGCCCGCAUCCAUCAUUAGUUCUAGACGAUUCAUGUCCUGCGCUUGAAGCUUCCCCUAUUGCGGACUUGCCUCUUCCUAGCCAAUCAGUUGCACUUCAAAAAGGUAUAAGAUCCACUCAUAAUGCUAACCCACAUUAUACUUUCUUGAGUUAUCAUCGUCUAUGAUAACCCUAUUAUGCUUUUUAUCAUCUUUGCCCUCUAUUUCUAUCCCUAAGACUACAGGUGAAGCACUUUCCUAUCCAUGUUGGAAACAGGCUAUGAUUGAUGAGAUGUCUGCUUUACAUACGAGUGGUACUUGGGAGCUUGUUCCCCUUUCUGCAGGUAAAUCUACUGUUGGUUGCCGUUGGGUUUAUGCAGUCAAAGUUGGUCCAGAUGGUUAGGUUGAUUAGCUUAAGGCUCGCUUUGUUGCCAAAGGAUAUACACAGAUAUUUGGGCUUGAUUAUAAUGAUACUUUCUCUCCUGUGGCUAAAAUAGCAUCUGUCUGUCUCUUUCUAUUUAUGGCUGCCGUUCGUCAUUGGCCCCUUUAUCAGUUGGACAUUAAGAAUGUUUUUCUGCAUGGUGAUCUUGAGGAGGAAGUCUAUAUGGAGCAACCACCUGGUUUUGUUGCUCAGGGGAAGUCUAGUAGCCUUGCAUGUCGAUUGCGCAAGUCACUCUAUGGUUUGAAACAGUCCUCUCAUGCCUGGUUCGGGAAGUUUAGUACAGUAAUUCAGGAGUUCGGCAUGAUUUGUAGUAAAGCUGAUCAUUCAGUAUUUUAUCUCCAUUAUGAACCAAAUUUGUGUAUUUAUUAGUUGUUUAUGUUGACAAAAUUUUUAUCACUGGCAAUGAUCAAGAUGGUAUCACUAAUUUGAAGCAACAUCUUUUCAGCAUUUCCAGACCAAAGACCUCGGCAGACUGAAAUACUUUCUGGGUAUUGAAGUUGCUCAGUCCAGACCAAGCAUUGUUAUUUCUCAAUGUAAGUAUGUCUUAGACAUUCUUGAGGAGACAGGAAUGAUGGGAUGUAGACCCAUUGACAUUCCUAUGGAUCCAAAUGCUAAACUUCUACCAGGACAGGGGAGCUACUCAGUGAUCCUGAAAGGUAUAGGCGGUUGGUUGGCAAGUUGAAUUAUCUUACAGUGACUAGACCUGGCAUCUCUUUUCCAGUGAGCGUUGUAAGUCAGUUUAUGACCUCCCCAUGUGAUUGUCAUUGGGACACAGUUGUUCGUAUUUUGCGAUAUAUAAAGUCGUCUCCAGGCAAAGGACUACUCUUCAAAGAUCGAGGCCAUGAGCAUAUUAUUAGAUAUACAGAUGCUGAUUGGGCAGGAUCACCCUUUGGUAGACGUUCCACAUCCGGGUUUUAGUAGGAGGUAAUUUGGUGUCCUGGAAGAGUAAGAAACAGAGUGUAGUUGCUUGAUCUAGCGCGGAAGCAGAAUAUCGAGCAAUGACUGCAGCAACUUGUGAACUGAUUUGGAUCAAACAGUUGCUAAGAGAAAUAAAAUUUGGAGAAACCGGUAAGAUAGAACUCGUAUGUGAUAAUCAAGCAGCCCUUAUAUUGCAUCUAAUCCAGUGUUCCAUGAGAGAACUAAGCAUAUAGAGAUCGAUUGUCAGUUUGUCAGAGAAAAGAUACUUUUCGGAGAUAUUGUUACAAAAUUUGUAAAGUCAAGUGAUCAACUGGCAGAUAUUUUUACCAAGUCACUCACUAGUCCUCGUAUUGAUUACAUUUGUAACAAGCUAGGUACAUAUGACUUGUAUGCACUAGCUUGAGGUGGGUGUUAGAAUAUGAGUAGGAAUAGGAACACUAUACGAAAUCCUACUUGGAAAAGGAUAGUAAUGUAGUAUCUAUAAAUAGGAUCUUAAUGUAAUAAUUUAGAUACACAAUUUAAUAAUAUUUUCUCUCAUAUUUCUCACAUCAACAAAACAAAAUAAAGAUAGUGGCGAAAUAAGAGAUGAGAAUUAGAAGAAAGAAGGGCUAAUUGAAUCAAUUAACCAAGGAAGAAGAGAACUUGAUUUUAAUUAGGAUAGAGAAAGCUGAUUCGAAUCCACAAAUGAGUAACUCGUGUGAAAUUCAAGGUUAAGAAGUUUUAGAUCAACAAUGGAAAUCCAUCUAUCACUAAUCAAACUAACACAAUGGCUACACUAACAGGAUUCCAUCCUACGCUCUCAAAGGAUUUCAAUUUUCCAUUCAUCAAAUUCUAAGGAUGAAAAAUGGCUAUUUAUACUUAUUACCUUUACACAAAUAGCCUGUUACAAAAAAUAGCCCAAAAGUGGCUAAUUAGGAAAUAACCCACAAGGGCCCUUCGUGAUUGUCAGAUGGCAUCUUGAUCGCUCAUGGCCUUGUGUAUUUGUCGCUCCAUAGCAUCUUUCAGGCUUCAAGCUAUCAUUCAUAUGUAGAAGCCCCUUCUAAUGUUCCACAUGCUAACCGUGCUCAUAUCACCUUCAAAGAUCUUCAUCUUCUCAGCUCUACAUCAGAAAGGAUAAUUGCAUCAUCUGAGUGUAAAAAUAGAUGAUUUCAAGAUUGUCCCCUUGUUUGUUGCUGACUUUAAAACCUCUGAGCCAAUUUUUCCUAUGAGUUGUGAGCAAUAUGUUGUUUAAACCCUCCAUGAUAAUCAGGAAAAGGAAAGGUGAAAGGGGAUCACCUUGCCGUAAUCUCCUACUUGAAGUGAAAAAGCCUUCAAGUGCACCAUUGAUCAAAAUUGAAAAUUUAAUGGUGCUAAUACAAAAUCAAAUCCAUUUCACCCAUUUAAUGCCAAAACCCAUUCUCUUCAGCAUGUUAAGCCGAAAGCUCCAGUUCACAUGAUCAAAAACUUUUUCUAUGUCUAACUUACUUGGAAUACCAGCUUUACCGUGUUUCAUUCUAGAGUCCAAGACAUUCAUUAUCAAUCAGGGUAGCAUCCAUGAUUUGCCUACCCUUGAUGAAAGCCAUCAACAGUUUGUGCAUAAUUGUCUUCAACCUUCUUGUGAGUAGCUUGGAUACAACAACAACAACAAAAAACCCAGUGUAUUCCCACAAAGUGGGGUCUGGGGAGAGUAAAGUGUACGCAAUCCAUACCGUUACCUCCAAAGAAGUAGAGAGGUUGUUUCCGAUAGACCCCCGGCUCAAGAAUGUGAGUAGCUUGGAUAUGAUUUUAUAGUCACUACCUGUCAAACUGAUAGGUCUGUAAUCUCUCACCCCCUUUGCAUCACUUCUUUUGGGGAUCAAUGCUAUAUAUGUGGCGUUGAAGCUUUUUUCAAAGAAAUCCUGAUUGUGGAAAUUGUGUAUUGCCAACAUGAUAUCCCUUUGAUUAUGUCCCAGCAGAGAAUGUAGAAACCCAUAUUAAAACCAUCUGGUUCUGGAGCUUUGUCCACAGCACAACGCUUUAUACACUCAAAUACCUCUUCUUCUUCAAAGGGUCUCUGUAUCCAAUCCUUUUCUUGAUCAGAUAUCAUAGGGCCUGCAAUCUGGUUGAAUUCUGGUCUCCAGUUUUCUGAUUUUGAGUAAAGCUGCUCAUAAACCUUGAUUAUUUCUGCUUUGAUAACCCUUUACUCGUUUGUUUCAACUCUUCCCACUACUGGAUGAUCAAUGUUGUUUUGCAUAUCAACCAGAAGCUCUAAUUAUGUGUUUCGCUACAAAGCCCAUCCAAUCAUCUACGUAAGUAGGAAGUUCUUGUACGCACUCAAAAAACUAGGGGAGGUCAUUUUAUCCGAAUGAUUGAUUUCUCUUUACCUUGUAAUGCUCAGUACUUCCUUUUUCCCGUAUGAUCCAUGAAACUUUGGUGGUGAUUCCAAUUCUCUAACUGCUUAUCCUUCUACUUCCCAUGUUUCCAGCUCCACAUGGGUCUCAACAAACUAGAGAGGUCAUUUUAUCUGAAUGAUUGAUUUCUCUUUACCUUGUAAUGCUCAGUACUUCCUUUUUCCCAUACGAUCCAUGAAACUUUGGUGGUGAUUCCCAUUCUCUAACUCCUUAGCCUUCUACUUCCCAUGUUUCCAGCUCCACAUGGGUUAUUCUUCAUUACUGGGCAUAUUCCAGAUGAUGCCAAACAGGUUUAACUCAGGUUCCUCAUUUGUGUUUCUACAUGGCUAUAAAGCAAAUGUUUCACAUUCUCCCAUUUCCUAUAUGUUGAUUCUUAGGAUGCACAUCUGGAGAAGUGUGUUUAUGGAGCCAAACUUAAACCAAGUUAAGGUGUCCAGAUGUGCAUUUUCAAAGUUGGGGUGUCUAGUUGCCAGUUGAGGCGAAGCUAAGGUGUCUAUCUAUGUAUUAUGCCAAGUUUAAAGCUUAUGAAUAAUGAAAUAGAUAUGGCGUGCUUUUUUUUUCGUUCAUGUUUACCAAGCCUUAUCCCUAUCUUUAGUGAUGCAGGAUUUUACACUGUUUUGGUUAACUUUAUGACACUUGAGAUGUUGUUUGCUUGCUUCACUAACUUAUGCGAUGCACUCUUGGCAGGGUUUGGUAGCAGCAGCAUAUGCAUUGGUUGGUGAGUCUGCAAUUUCUGCCAGAUAUUCUGAUAAUAUAUUCUCCAUAGUUGUGAUUUUUGGAUUUGCUUAUUCAACAAUAAUGUUUAUUAGAAGAACACAGGCAAUUAUGAAGUUCCUCUCGACAUUCAAGUUGGAAGAAAUUUUCCGUCUGUUAGACAAUUGGCAAUUUCAUUUUCCAGCUUAUUCUCUUUUUCUGUUUUCUUAAACUUAGUUUAAGUUUACCCUUAGUAAGGGUGGCAAUGGAACCGGAAUUUUCCGGUCCGGUUACUCCGAUUCCGGUGACAUUCUGGUACCGGUAACACAACGGUACUGGUUGCAACCGGUAUACUGGUACCCAAUGGUCCGGAAUACGGUACUGGUGCGUCUAUCAAAAAAAUUCCGGUUCUGGUCCGGCGACAGUGAAGACCGUUGUAAUUUUUUUUUAUUUUUUUUUAAUUUCAUUUGGCAGCAACGGCUCUUUUGGUCGUUUCCCCCCCACCCCCACCCACACACACGCAAAAUUAAAAUUUUCACUAUAAAUACCCUUUUAUAUUUAUUCUUUUUCCUCACAAAUAUUCUCAAUUUCUCAUACUCUCUCUAAAUAUUCAUAGUUAUUGUAUUAGUUGGAGUUGAAGAUUUUUUGAAGCUAUUACAAGCUUCAAUUAUCAUCUUUUAAUUCUGACAUUUGGUAUACGUCUGCUUUACGCAGAAGUUCGGUAUAUUCGUUCCAACUUAAUCUCUUUUUUAUUUACUUUAAUAUCUAUAUUUUUAUUUUUUAGUAUCUACAUUUGUUUACUUACAUUAAUUUUUCGAUUUAUAAUAUUAUAUUGCUUGUUUUAAUAUUUUAAUUUUAUUUAAAUUUAAUUAUGGAUUCCCAUAAAAAUAGUAGUGGUAAAAAACCAAUUUUUGGUAAGAUUUUUCGUAGAAAUAAAAAAAAUAAGGCUACUACUAGUUCAUUACCGCUUAGAUUUAGUGAAACUUCUUUAUCACAGCCUAAUGGUUUUGAUGUUGGUAUCGGUAUGGAAUUAGACCAUGAGACCCUAAGUAGGCGUUAUGAUAAUUUUAAGGAAGACUUACAGGAAGAAGAUAUAGAAGAACAAGAGUUAGGUGAUACCCCUACCUCUACUAGUUCGGUUACGGAAUUACUGGAAGACGGUGAAGAACUUUCCCCUUUACCGGAAUUUACUAGGGCCAAAGGUACUGAACAUUCUAAAAGGUCUUUAGUUUGGAAAUUUAUGAAGCAUGAUAAGGCAAAAAGUACUGCUACUUGCAAUAAAUGCAUGAGAGUUUUUAAACAUUUUGAAGAAGUUCAGAAUGGAAAAUUGCGCAUUUGACAACUACUUUGAUGUGUCAAAAGGAGAAACAACAACAACAACAACAACAAACCCAGUGUAUUCCCACUUAGUGGGGACGUGUCAAAAGGAGAAGUUGAGCAUAAAUGAUGAAGCUGAAAAAGUGGAUGACAUGUAUCUUACAACAACUAGAUCUGACAUUUUAUAUGUUGUAAGUCUUCUAUCUAGAUUCACUAAUUGUGCAAUUAACACUCAUUUUAGAGCAGCGAAUAGGGUGAUAAGAUAUGUUAAGGGAACACUGAAUUUUGGAAUCAAGUUCAAUGCAAAUCAAAAGCACGUGUUGCAUGGGUAUUUUGAUAGUUACUGGGGUGGUUCUUCUGAAGAAAUAAAGAGCACUUCUGAUUAUUGUUUUAAUCUUAGUUCAGGUGUAUUUUCUUGGUGCUCUAAAAACAAGAAGUUGUUGCACAGUCGACGGCUGAAGCUGAGUUCAUUGCAACAACAACUGCUGCAAAUCAAGCCUUAUGGCUUAGAAAAGUGCAACUUGAUCUGAAUUUAAAGCAAGAAAAGUGCACAAAAAUGUUUGUGGAUAACCAAGUAGCUAUUGCUAUCUCAAAUAAUCCUGUUUUUCAUGCAAAUUUCAAUAUCAAAUUAUUCUUUCUCAGAGACGUGCAGAAAGAAGGAUCGAUUGGGUUAAAGUACUGCAAGACGCAUCUUCAACUGACAGAUAUGUUUACUGAAGCCUUGCCAAAGAGCAGAUUUGAAUUUCUUAAAGAAAGUCUUGGAAUUUGCAGCAACUGAAGCAAGGAGGAGUGUUGAUUAAUUGCCUCAGUUACUGCAGUAAAAAUUGGAGCAGUUACUAGAUGUUAUCCAACUUUUUUAGCCAUGUUCUGUUAACUUAGUUUAGUUGUUGUUUCUUUUUUGGGUUGAUCAUAUGUGUUGGAAAAUUGGCGGAGGAGUACUCUCUAUAUGUCAUUUUCUAUUGAAGACAGGUGGAGGAAAUCAUUUUUCUUUACUUCACUCAACUUGCUUUCAUAAAAUGGCUAUAGUACCUAGGUAUUUAUAGAACUUUUCUAGCAUGUACCUAGACUAGUACAUUUACUUUAAUUUAAUUCUAUUUUUUUUUCUUUUCUUCCGGUUCAUGACCAAAACAGUACAUGUAUCCCAAGAGUAAUACAAUUAGCUUUUAAUUCAUGAACUAAGAUAAUUAUGAAUCACAAAAAUCUAAGAAAACAUUUUCUUUUCCAACCCAACGUUCAAUUUUCAAUAGUAUGCUGGAGGACAAGGCUGUGCAGACCACUUUUUCAUAUGGGAACUUUAGGCUUCAAUAUAUUCGGGCAGCUUGUUUGAUCUCUAAAAUUAGUGAUAAAACAAGAUGUUCUGUUAUCAGAUUCUGUUUCAAAUCUCCAAACUAAUUUGGCCUAGUCAUAUGAAGUGCAGUCUCUCCAACAGUUUAUCUGGUUUUUAUUGAAAUGUAGGUUUUCAUGUCCUCAUAAAUGUUGUCUAUAGCUUACCUUGUGCACUUCCCUCAUUGAGCUUUUAAUUCUCUUAGUUUUACAAGGAGGCAAAGGAGUGCCUUCUAUUCUGUUUAAUCAUUGCGAGUGCAUCACUGGAUGCUUGUUCUCCUGAUGGAAGACACUAAGAUUUUUUCCUUUUAAUUGUCUAGAGUGGGAGAAGACACUACAAUAUGUUGGAGUUUUCGGCCUAUGUCAGGUAAUUCUUCUAGUUUGGAGAGAGAAUUUCCUAUGUCCGAACACUAACAACUAACUGAAAUGAGUGAACAAACUUUUUUCAUAUUGGAUUCUGUUGUUGGAAAGCCAAACGAAGAUUUCAUGAUUAUUUUUCAAAAUUUCAUUGCUAAAAGCUUGUUAUUUGUUGGAUGUUAAGCUGAUACUUGAAUUCCUAAAUUCUGGAUUUAUUUUGGUUUUUAGACUUUAUACCGUCGAAUUACUUCUUAUGAGGAUUCAGAAGAUUUGAAACAGGAUGUGAGGUAACAGCCCUUUCCAUGAACUUGAAUUGCUGUCAAGUGUGUAUGUCUUUUACAGUGUUUAUUUAUUUUUGUCCUUUGAACCACAGUCCUAAAGUUUUGCUAAGGUGGAAUAAAGGUUAAAAGAAUACAAAGUGAAAUAACUAAUGCACCCAUUGUAUAUCGUAUAUGGGUUAUUAAUGAAAUGAAUUCUUGUUGUAAAUGUGAUACUACUUUGGCAACUCAAUCACAUUGAGCUUUUCAUUAAAUACUUACGUCUUGAUUAAAAUGAAAAGUUAUUAGGAAUUUACUUGAAAGGAGAAGCAACUCUUCAAUCUAUAUGCACAUGACAAACAUAGGAAUUUACUUGAAAGGAGAAACAACUCUUCCAUCUAUAUGCUAUGACAAAUAAACACAGUAGAUGUCGGUUCCAUUUGUGAACUUGUACAAUGAGACAGUUCCAUUCUUAUAUCUUAUGCAUUAACAUGGCAGAAAUGAUGAUAACUCAAACAUAGCCCGUACUAGGAUGAGAUCAUAUCAGAUCUUGACAGAUCAGACGUCUUAUCAGUUACCAUCAUGGUUUCCUCCCAGAUCUGUUUUUUUAUCGCGGCAUACUGUUGAACACAAGUUUUUGGCCAAAAAUACUACAUCAAACUUAAACUACAUCCGUGUAAUACCACCAUGAGCAAAAUCCAUACUUCCGUUACUUUUCUUGACAAAAACUAAUAGUUUUGACUAAAGAAGCGCCUAUGCAUGUGACUUCCCUACAAAUGACCUUUUUCAGUUACUUUGUCUUCUCCCCCUUUGUCUUCAACAUCCAGCAAAAAAUACAUAUAUUUUGUCUAAACAAUGAUGAUUCAUAGGUGAUUCAACUGCAUGUUAAAAUGAUCAAGUGUGAUUUGGUUGCAUGAAUAAGAGUUUGUAGAUCCGCUAAGGACCUUAACUUCAAUAAGGCUUUGAGCAUGUUAGAUUUAGACGGCGGAGUAGUGUGGGAGCUGCUACCUACCAGGGUUUGAUUAAAAAUUCAAAAUAGUAUGCCAGUGCAAGGAGGAGCCUUAUCUUAAUAUCCUUACUUAAGCUCCACCAUUAUAAUGCUGCCGCAUGGAAUUAGAAGCUAAGCUAGUUUCUGUGCAUUCUUGUGACUGCCCGAAACAAGAGCAAUGCAACUGAAGUUAAGCUGAUUUUCUUUGUAUAAUUUUCAGCUCUAGUAUCAUACCCUAUUCUCCAAUUUUCAAUUAGCCUCAUCCCUCUUUCUCUUCCAAGUCGAACACACUCAUGGCCGAGCUCAUGCAGAGAAGAAAACGAUCAUUCUGUUAGUUUUUUAAACAGAGUUUGAUGGUAAGAUGAAACAUGUUAAAUUUUAGAUAUUUCAAGGAUGUGUUUUGUUCACCAUGGUAGUACAAGAAUGUAUUUUAAGUUUGAAGCAUAGUUGAAGGAUGUUUUUUUGCCAAAAACUCAUUGGACGCCAUUACAUUGUUAGAAUUUGUACAUGCUUGUGAUACGAGAUAUUUACUAUGUUGUAACUGCAAAUUGUUGCUGUGAUGGUAUUAAACGGAUGCUUACGGUGUUAACUUUUCCAGACAACUUUUGGUCCCAAUGACAUGGGCAGUUGGCAAGUUGGAGACAAACCGUAAUCGUAAUGGACUACCAACUUCACCUUCUUCAACUGACGUUCAAAACAGGGUGUUGCAAGCUGCUGCUAAGCAUCAAUCACAACCAGAUAGCGAAGAGAUUCAAGAUCCGUCCCCUGAAACUAUGCUUUCCGUCAAUGAAAACAUCGAUAUUUCUGAAGCAUAGAAUAUUUAAGUGUUUUGCAGCUAACUGUAAUAGUCCAACUGAAUGACAUUUCAUAUUGCUGGAAUCCAUUUUGUAGAUUCAGGUAAGACACUCAGAUUAUCAACAACACAAAUACCACCAUAAAUACCACCAUAAAAUUUGUAUAGUCAAAACCUUGAGAUUCUUCUUUUUUGUAAUGAAUAAGUAAAAAUUGCAUGCAUACAUUGGGUACCAUGUUAUACAUUCGUUGGAUAUUCCAUAGAAAAACUUAUAAGCACUAUGUUACGAAUUUAGCAAAACACUUCCCCCAAUCUGGUGCAGUUUAUCUUGUGUUUGAGAUAAAACAAAACACGCCCACCAUGAUAACUCAUGUUCCACUGAAUGUUUGAGGAGUUACCUUGACUAUUCCCUUUUCUAUGUUAUCGCCUUUAGGUCACAUCUUUAUUGUCUAGGCAAAAACUAAUUAUAAAUAAACGAUGUGUUAACAUGCCCAAAUGAUAGCCCAAGAAAGAUCUUUAAACAAAAGUAGUUUUGCUAAUACCGUGAUGUGGUAGAACACAUUGUAGGUUUGAUAUACAACAGAAUCGACAUCCUUACAAAGAGACAUUAUACAAAUUUCCAUGAGGAAGGAUUCUAUCACGUAUGCCAUUUUAGAGAAACCCAUCAGAAAAUUUGUCCAGUCCAUUACCCUAGUAUACAAACUGAGGCAAAAAAUUGGUUAAUUGUAUCAUUCUAUGGUUCCUGAACCAAAAUGCCACGAGGAGUGCUCGCUCUUUCAUCUUCAUCCGCAGCUCAUUUAUUUGAACAAGCGACUUGAGAUGAGACUGACAAAAUACCUGACAGCAUCUUGCAUUAUCAGUGAUGCACGAGAAAUUCAGCUUGGCUGGAAGGAUUUUGCCAUUGCCAUAUUUCAUUCCUUGUCAGCUAUUACAACAAAAACAUCCUUAACUGACCAUUUUCUUCUCUCUGUUUUUGCCGGCGGAUUGAUGACUGCUUUUUCGGUAUUAGCAAGACGGUAACCAAUCACAAUCUCUCUCCUUUGUCGUGCACGCAGGAGCACUUCAUAAAAACUCAACUCCUCACCCUCACAAAGGUAUACCUUUGCUCCUCUUAUUUGCAUCUCAUUUCCCUGCAAUGUAAGAAGGUUUAAUUAGUCGUGAACAAUCACAAUAAUAACUACAGCCUUAACGGACGUUGCAGGAUGCUACCAAGAUACGCAAGGAUUCUUAGCUUCAGCAUCUACUGAAGCAUUCAAUACUGUCAAAUUAUAAAAUUGAGACGCAAGCGAUACAACUUCACCUCAAAGUUUCAAAAACGAGGAAUGAGUCCUAACUGAUCUUUACUGAUUAAAAGUUCGAUAACAUGAGAGUCAAUGUAGUGAAAGUUUCACAUGGUACUUUAUAGAUUUGGUGUUUGCUUCAACUUGGAUUCAGAUCCUUUUCCAUUUCUUUUCAUUUAGGUGUAAACUCUAUAUGUGCUGCCCUGUUUUCAAUCAGUGCACUAUAAAAGGAUCGGACUAAUAGCCUAAAAUAAGUCUGAAAGCCUUGGGACCCAAACCAAAGGUCCCCUAGCCUAAAGUCGACGUUCCGGUGCUGAUGGAACUGCCUCAUUCUUCCUAAUUCGAUGGUUAAUACAGUUUUGGGUUAGCUAGUUCUGCUUCUGUCAUGAAAAGAGAAAAUGGCUCUCGAAUAUAGUCAUUACUCCUUUUUUUAUUGUUCAGUCUCAUAUUGAUACGAGAAUAAUCACGGAUAUGGAUUUAUGAGAGUGUGUGUUGGACCCGAGCCUUGGUGUGUGCAAUUGAAAUGUAAAAGAGGCCCAAAAUGCACCAAAAUCAAUCCAUAACUUACACUUGAUGAGUGCCCCUUUUGGUCAUUUUAACUUAUAUUUUGUAAUAGCUAUAUAAGGAACAUUGUAGGACUUUUAGACUUAGUUUUUGGAUAUUAUUGUAAGGCAUAAGACACAAGGAACAUCAAGUCCUCUCUCUAAAGAGGCUUGGCCAAAACUAGGGCAAGAACUAGUAUGGAAUCACUAGUGAUUGUAUUUUGCUUGGAAACGUAGAUACUAGAGAGGUGGAAUCUGAUCUUGUGUCACGUAAGAGAUAGGUGAAUCAUUGUGUAUGGUGUUAAGGGUCCAAGAGUGGAAUAGGCUCUUGGGUUCUUAAGAUUAUAACUUUGCGUAGUCUAUCUAUCCAUCCUUUGUUUUCAUUGUAAUUUUGUAGUUUGUGUUCUCGUUAUUCAAGCCGUAUUGUGGUGUUGUUCCUCAUAUUGUUAGUGCUCAUCCUUGUUAUUCAUAUUGUUGUUGUUAAUAUAGUUUGGGUGACUGAUUUGGUGUUCAAGACACUUUGUUAUUCUUGUCUUAUUGUUGUUCUUGUUGUUUGUUGUUGAAGCCAAGACUUGGUCUCAAGUGUGCUCUCGGUUUCUCCUUCAUUUGUGGAUUGUUUUGAGACCGUUUCUUGUGUUUCCGAGUUUUUAUCAUAUCAUUUGGUAUCAGAGCAUGGCUUGAUCUUGUUCCUAUAAGAUCAAUCUUGGGCUUGCUUGCUAGAAAAAAUUCAAAAAAAAAAAACUAGAUUUGGUGUUCUUGUUGUUCUUAGUCGAGAAAGUUGUUCUUGUUGUUCAUCUUGACCGAGAUUGUUUGUAAGUCUAGAUCUUGGUGUCUUUUGUUUUGUUUAGUUGUUCUAAGUGUUGGUUUUUCUUGUUCACUAGCACUUUGAGUCUAGAUCUAAACUUGAGCUUGAACUUAUUGAAGUGUUGUUGUGAACAAAGGUGGCCGUGUGUUGAUCUUAUUGUGAACUUGAACUUGGCCGCCCCUUGUUGAACCUUGUUGUUGUGUUUUUUUCACUUUGGCCGUGUGUUGUUAGUGUUUUUCUAAGCUUGGCAUUGUAUUGUUGUUGAGGAUUGGUGGCCUAAGGACAAUCUUGUUGAAGUUUUGUAGUCUUGGCCGUGUGGUUGUGUUGUAGAUCUUGGUGAUUGUUGUUGAAUUUUCUUGAUGAUUGUUGAAGUGUUCUUGAUGUUCUUUCCAACCUUCAUACCUUGCUAAAAUAAAGUAAAAGUUAGAUCCAAAAAGGUGAAAGAAAAGGUGUGAGAACUUUGUUAGUCUUGAAAGACUUACCAUCACUCACCAACUAGUCAAUCACAGCUCAACCACUUUCCAUAAAACAAGGGUCCAUAUUUUAAGGAGAAGUACAAAGAAUUCAAGUCUUCCUUUUUUGAAAUUUGAAAAAGAAUUCCAAGACUUAUAUUUCCCUCCUUAACCAAUUCCCACUAAUUCCAAAUUAUAAAAUUGAUCAAGACUUCCAAGUUUGGAAAAUAAAAUUGGUAAGGACCGAGGCCAAUCACGGACUGCCAUGUCACUAAUUACUGUUCAUAGAUAAAUUUUAAGCUCAAAUUUGGAUCUUUUAGUCUCAUUUUGUGUCUUUAGUUUCGUUUGUUGAUUCCAAAUCUAACUUAAAAGCUAGUACUAGAUUGUAAGUUAGUUUUGAAGUCGUUCUUCGUGUAAACCUUCUUUUGUGUGUCUUAAUUCUUUUGUGUCAUUGUAAUACGUUCUUGUGUGUUUUCCUUACUCUUUGGAGUCCUAGUAAACGUUGGAUUCACCUCUCAAUACCUCUUGGAGUACAUGCAAACUUACAACACUUAUGAAAUUGAGAGUGACGGAUUCGAGAGACACGAAAUAAAAAGAGAGAAUGAGGAUAUUUUGUACAACUAACAUGUUUUCUGUUUUGUAGGUAUCUCCUUGGCUAUAGUGGACACCAUUUUGGCCCACCUUGAUGCUAUUGCCCGAGAAAUAGCUAAGGCGAAUGCAAAAAUUGGGCUCGGAUAUGUCUACUAUACUUAAGAGGGUGGAUCGAGUGGAGAGUCGAAGAAAUUCCUGUGUUUCUACUUCCGAAACUUUACCUCAAACAAUCAAUCCUCCAAGACCACCACCAAAUGACACAAACAUAAGCCAAGCCACCAAAUGUCUUCCAACCAGAGACCUAAGUAGGUCACUUCUUCAACAAUUCGAUCAAGUCCAACUAGAACUUGGAAGCCAAUCUCCUCCCAUCCAAGCUCCACAACAGAAGCUCCACAUUACCAAAUCAAUCCUUUCAUCCGAAACUCCGCUUCACUUAAACUGAUAUGUCCAUAUAGAGGAGUGUGGUAGAAAGAAACAUGAGGGACAUGGAGUCUACAAUGAUGCACAUAUGAUGGAGGAGAAGUUGAUGGGAAGACGAAAGAAACCACAAGGAAUCCGCCACCAAGAAAAGAGGUGGGAUGUGUUUAGUGUUUCCUUUGUUAUUCACUAUGUGUUUCGGAUGAGGAUGAAGACAAGGCUCAAGAUGGAGAGGAAGCCGACGUUCAAAAAUAAGAUGUUGGUCGAGACUUGUUGUUAUUGAGCCCUCAGAUUCUUCAUGUUUUUGUGGACUGUUUUUGACUUAUUUUGUGACUUGUUUGCGGACUGUUUUGAGUAGGUUUCCUUUGAAGUGACCAAUUGAAUGAGGUAAAGCCGUGAAUUUGCGGACAAAUUCCUCUCAAGAUGGAGAGGAUGAUACGAGAAUAAUCAUGGAUAUCAACUUAUGAGAGUGCAUGUUGGACCUGAAUUUGCGGACAAAUUCCUCUCAAGAUGGAGAGGAUGAUACGAGAAUAGUCACGGAUAUGAACUUAUGAGAAUGCAUGUUGGACCCGAGCCUUGGUGUGUGCAAUUGAAAUGUAAAAGAGGCCCAAAAUGCACCAAAAUCGGUCCAUAACUUACACUUGAUGGGCGCCCACUCUUUGAAGGGCCUUUGGGUCAUUUUAACUUAUAUUUUGUAAUAGCUAUAUAAGGAACAUUGUAGGGCUUUUAGACUUAGUUUUUGGAUAUUAUUGUAAGUCAUAAGACACAAGGAACAUCAAGUCCUCUCUCUAAAGAGGCGUGGCCAAAACUAGGGCAAGAUCUAGUGUGGAAUCACUAGUGAUUGCAUUUUGCUUGGAAACAUAGAUGCUAGAGAGGUGGAAUUCGAUCUUGUGUCACGUAAGAGAUAGAUGAAUCAUUGGGUGUGGUGUUAAGGGUCCAAGAGUGGAAUAGGUUCAUAAGUUCUUAAGAUUAUACCUUUGCGUAGUCUAUCUAUCUAUCCUUUGUUUUCAUUGUAAUCUUGUAGUUGUGUUCUUGUUAUUCAAGCCGUGUUGUGUUUUUGUUCCUCAUAUUGUUAGUGUUCAUCCUUGUUAUUCAUAUUGUUGUUGUUAAUAUAGUUUGGGUGACUGAUUUGGUGUUCAAGACACCUUGUUAUUCUUGUCUUAUUAUUGUUCUUGUUGUUUGUUGUUGAAGCCGAGACUUGGUCUCAAGUGUGCUCUUGGUUUCUCAUUCAUUUGUGGACUGUUUUGAGACCGUUUCUUGAGUUUCCAAGUUUUUAUCAUAUCACAUAUUAUGUUUUUUUUUCUUUCUAUUUUAUAUAUUUCAUGUUGCUUCAGUUGUUAGCUUUCCCUAAUAAAUGGAGUGUUUGAUCUCCUACAAUACGCUGAUAUAUGCAUAAAUCCCUAAAAGCUCCAAUAAUACUGGAUGCGUACUGGAGCAAUGUGUGGCUCCUCUAUACUAGACACAAAAAAUCAGGCAACCCAGUAGCCAGUAGGCAUGACCCAUGCCAGUUGCCUCACCUCUUCCAAUACAUUAUUUAUUUGACGGUCCUCUGCCACCAUGGCCAAUGCCAUGCUAAUAAGCUCAUUUGACAAAACGGUCACUUAUCUUUGACAUAGUCAAGAGGUUUUUAGUCCUCGGGUCCAAAAUUUCACUGAUUAUAAUCGACUUAUCUGAAGCCUGUUGCAUCUCCUCUCUCCAGGAGCCUUGGGAGGAGCUACCCCUGUGAAUUUUGGAAACCACAGAUUCUCUGUAUGGCAAGCGUUUGGCCUGCAAAACAAGAAAUAGAUUUCUGAGUGCAUCAUCUGAUGUCACAGCUUAAGGAUCAAAUUUAAAUAGUAUUAAAUCAGCUCAAAAGAGUUUAGAGUGCAUCCGAAGAUAAAAGAAACAGAACAUCUAAAAGUAGUAAGAUUUAGCAAGAUAAUACAAGAAUAUUGUUACUUUCUGAAAUAAAAAUCAUGCAUCUAAAUUAAGCUCUAAGUGGUAGAUGACUGUUUUCCUCGAGAAAUCUUAGAUCUUUGUGGUUAAAUUUGAAAAUAUGCUAAUAGUUCAAUCAGUAAGAGGAUUUCUACAUCCAUUUCUGUAUCCUGUUGAUUAUGUCCUCAGUAUAGUAAAGUAAUAUUGGGGAUCAACAUCAAACUACUGGUUCUGCAAAGGGACGACUCCAAAAUUUGCACAUGAAUGCAGUAAUACUGUUGUGAGAACACAUGCCAGAAGGGAAAAAAAUGCAGGUGUUUGAUGACAAACUUUAUUCUACCAAAUCAGUCAAGAACUACGAGGCUGUCUGAUCGCUUAGACAUGGAAGCAAUGAAAAAAAAACAGAACCUGGUUAAUUAAAGAUACAUUAAGCAGAAAAUUUUAGAGAAAGUGUAAUUUUUCAUGUGUUUGGUAGAGAGCAGAGUAAUAUUGAUACCUGAGGAUUUGAAAAAAGGACAGAUUGUGUCAACUAGUGCAUCAUGUGCAAAUGUUCAGUAAAGACGUGGACUGCCGAUUGAUACAAUUUGGAUUUGGGUGUGGAUUCAUACUGUAUUUAGUCAACCUAACUUGGGAUCUUUGACUUCAUCUAUCACCAAGAUGUUUAGGUUGAUCGGNNNNNNNNNNNNNNNNNNNNNNNNNNNNNNNNNNNNNNNNNNNNNNNNNUAUAUAUACACGUACACAUACAUUAUACAUAUAUAUCAAAUGUGUCCUCAACAAAUUGUUUAUUAUAUGAGAUAACUUAUAUAUAUUCACAUAAAGUACUACAACACUUUGUUGUUACACGAGAUAACUUAUGGAUAAAAUAUUAAUCCCUCCGUUUCAUUGUGUUUUAGUUUGACUGGGCACGAAACUUAAGUAAAUAAGAAUACUUUUGAAUCUUGUGAUCUUAAACUAAAAAUAUGUAUAUUGAACCAAAAAUAUUCUUUGAAUCUUGUGGUCUUAAACAUGCCAUGGAAUCAGAGAGUUACUAACAAUAGAAAGUGACAUUAUUUUCUAUAUAAUAGGCUAAAAAGGAAAGUAAAAACACAUCGUCCUUGUUUAAAGAGAAUUUAAUAAUUCAAUAAUUUGUCAAAAAAUAGACUUCAAAAGCCGUUACAUACAUCUUAUUAGCUGUAUCCAACACCCAAACUUGAACUUCGACCCCUAUCCUCGAAUCCUAAAAUUUAUGUGAUGAAAGAUCCGACCUCUAGAUCCACACCCGUAUCAAAUACCUGCACCAGUAUCUAGGCAACAUACUGGACCACCUCAUCCCAAUUGUCCAGUAACAACUCCACUUGUGUGAGAUUUUGAGAUGGUUUGGGAUGCAAUGAGCAAUGCAGGGCAUAGUGACGGAAGCACCCUUCAACUGAUACUUUUAGAAGAAAAAAAUGGAAGAGCUUGGGAUGUUGCCUUACUAGCACUGUUGUGAAUUUCGUGGAAGGAAAGAAAAUGAGAGCUUUUGAUGGGACAGAGGACUACGUACAUUUGAAGAAUAGUCUCUUAAUUCCUGAUUUCUUUUUGGUGCACCCAUGAGGUUGCUGUGUAUAGAAGAUUGGAUGUAGUUUGUGAAAAUCAUAUGUUAUAUAUUAUAUACUUUUUUGGUAUACUGUUUGUAUAUGGGAAUUUCUAUUAAAAUAAUUUUUUUUACCUUACAAAACUUUUUAGAACAGCAACAUAUCAUAUAUCUAAACAACAUGUGACAUUAAUAGAUGUAAUGGGACACUAAAUUUUCAUAAAUGUGGCACAGAAUAAGAUAUAAAAUAUCCAUUCCACAAUGUACCUGAAUGUCACGUAUUAACAGUAAUGUGGCAAGUGAUCUGGAAUCCGCCUGAAUUGUGGAAUCUUUCACUAAUUCAUCUACCAAAAUUAAGAUCUGUACAUACGAAAAGAAAAUUCAGAACAGUAGUACAAGUUAUAAAAGAAACAAUAUGAACAGGAACACCCCAGAAACUGUUAGGGUUUUGGUCUUAAUUUUCUUACUAUAUUUAAGUUUUAUUUUUUCUUAUAAGAAAAAUAAAAGUUAGCAUAAUUACUUUUACUUUUCUGAAAGAAAAAAUAUAAUUCUUUUUCAUAUUUGGAUAACCUCUUUCUUGGAGGAAAGGUUUUGGAUAUCUAUAAAUAGAAGGCCUCCCUUCUCAUACCAUAACAUAUUAGCAUCUACAAUGUAGUCGUUUAAAGAGUUUCGUUUAGGAAAAAUUUUUCUCUAAUAAUUUUAUGUUUUCUUUUAUAUUAAGUCUUUAUAUGUAGGUUAAUUGGCUAAACUAUAUAGUUUUUAGUAUGUUUUUUUCCGUCUGAUUUAUCGUCUCAAUAGUUUGCAACUAAUAGCUUCCGCAUGACACCCUCUCGAUUUUGAACCCAACAAGUGGUAUCAGAGCUUAUGGUCCAAUGGUGUGGUGAGACGAGAUUAAACAGGUUUAAAGUGGUUUCAAAAUCAAGCUGCAACAAUUUGGAUGAUAAUAAAGAUUUUUGUCGAACUACAUGUGGAGAACAAAUUUCAACCAUAUUUUCAACACUCCUGCUACUGCAUCUUUAAAAAUAAAAAUAAAAUAUUACUUUUAAACCAAUUUUUAACCAUGAUAUUUACUUUUAACCAUGGCAAGUACAGUUAUGAAGAUUAUAUCAAGAACGAAGUUCAUGCACGUGAUAUGAAGAGAAGACGGAUCAAGUGAAGAAAAUUAAGCCAAAAAGGGGAGAUUUGUUAGGGUUUUUGUCCUGAUUUUCUUACUAUAUUUAAGUUUUAUUUUAUCUUAGAAGGAAAAUAAAAGUUAUCAUAAUUACUUUUACUUUUUCAUUCUUACUAUAUUUAAAUUUUAUUUUUUUAAAUUUUAUUUUUUCUUAGAAUGAAAAGAAAAAUUAUCAUAAUUACUUUUAUUUUUCCUGAAAGAAAAAAAUAUAAUUCUUUUUCAUAUUUAGUUAACCUCUUUCUUGAAGGAAAGAUUUUGGACAUUUAUAAAUAGAAGAUACCCCUUCUCAUACCAUAAUAUAAUAACAUCCACAAUGUAGUCGUUUAAAGAGUUUUGUUUAGGGAAAAUUUUCUCUCUAAUAGUUUUAUAUUUUCUUUUAUAUUAGAUUUUUAUAUGUAGGUCAAUUGGUCAAACUAUAUAAUCAUGUUUUUAGUAUGUUUUUCUUUUCGUCUGAUUUAUUAUCUCAAUAGUUUGCAACUAAUAGUUUCCGCAUGACGCCCUCUCGAUUUCCAACCCAACAGAAACCCCAUCCCAUUCCCCCAUCUGAGCGUUGUUAACAUCAGAACACACUUACUUUAUAUUUUACCUAAAGUGCAUCUGUUUUGCAUAUUUAGUGAAUCUUACUCACCGAGUCAAAUGAUUCCGAGGGAAGACUUUCUAGAUGGCGGCGUAUAACAUCAUUGCCCUCGCGGUUUACCAGUAUUAUGUUUGCCAGCUGGCUAAUAUCCAGGCCACCAUCUGUUAGCUUCUUUUCUCUUUCCUUCUCGGAGACUUAAUUGAACAUCCACAACUUUGAACCAUGAGCUAUGAAGGCAUCCAAUACCUAGAAUGAGUAGCUGAGUUUGUUGGAGUUACAGAGCAUCAUUUUUUCAAAAAUUGUUCAGAUCUUAAAUACUUUGUACUUUCUGGGCUUCUUUCAUCAUUCUCUGGAACUGAGAGAUGGAAUGAGAAAAUAUUCAGAAAUCAGAAAACCUGGAAGCAUAUAUAAGCAUAUAUAUAGGCUGAGGAAGAGGUGGGAAGAUACAGAAAACAAGCAAGAAAUCUCUAUCCCCAUAGUCUAUAGAGAAAAGCUUGCGUGAGUAAGGAAAACAUACAGCUGGCUCCUCACAAGAUUACCAGUAUCAUAUCCUCCAUAUCUCGUCGCCAACCACAAAAAUGAAUCCGCUCUGUAGUCUUUGGAGUAAUUAAGUUCUUUGGCAAGUUUCCUCUCUGAACCUGCAACAUUCAGGUAAAAUGAAAAGGAAUUAGGAACUUUGAUUCAAACUCACCACAAUCAUAUCAUCAAUGUCUCGUCUCCAUCCAGUUAGUAGAAUCUUCUGUGGCUUUCUUGUUGGUCGGACAAUGUGCAUCAAAGAUGCUUCUUUGACCUGAAUAACCAAAUUAAUUAUACCUUAGAAAGUCUAUUAAUGCCACGUUCUGCUUGCUUGAAUUCCAUGCCUAGAAUCCCUCAAUUGCGAAGCAGAAGAGGAUCUCCUUCAUGUGAUCCACUAAAUGUUGAAGUCAUCGAGUUUUUUUAUUCCAUUUAUUAAGACUUUUAAUGGUUAUCAUGAAUCUAAUAAAAGAUUUUUUGUGUCCUUUGAGAGGUUGUGAGGUUGGCAUUAAUAAUUUUUACUUGCAAAUAUCCAAACUCAAUUAUCUCUGCAGUAUGAAAAUUUACAAUCUAAUAUAAAUUUGUUCAAUUUUUUUUUAUAACUGUGGUGUCCAGUCCAGUUUGCGCUCAUCUCGACUAAUUCCACAGUAUACCUGUUACCUCCUACCAGCACCAGGUACUAGGCAACUCUAUCCACCAAGGCACACCCACCAAACUCAAUUAUCUCUGCAGUAUGAAAAUUUAUAAUCUAAUAUAAAUCUGUUCAAUUUCUUUUUUGAUAACUGUGGUGUCCGGUCCAGCUUGCGCUCAUCGGAACUAAUUGUCCACCAAGGCAAGAAUAGAUGAGAAGAAAUCACCUGGUGUUUGUCUGUCUUUGUUGGGAAUUGAACCUUAGACCUCCUUGUGCUCAACCCAACUUCAUUGAACCAUUAGGCCACACACUUGGGUGCUUAAAUUUGUUCAAUUUUCAUGACCUAUAUUAUAUUGAUCAUAAUAAAUAUCGAAUGCAGUUCAUAUGCUCCAAAUAGAAGCCGAGAAAAAAGGUUCUCGACAGUAUCUAAAGCUUAAUUUAGACCGAAGUCAACCAAUUUAUCUUAUUGAUGAAUAUACUCUUAAAGAAUUGUAUAACUUUGUGAUGUAUUGACUUUUUCAUCAGCGUUAUAAUAUGUGAUUUGGGUUCACUACAUUUUCAAGCAGAGAAACAAGAGAAUAUAGCUAUCUUAAGAAAAGGGGAAGCACCAUAGGCAGUGCUGUUGGAGCAUACGAGUCAUCAUCCUCGGCAAUAACAAGGACUUCAUCUCCUUCUUGCAACACAUAGGAGUCAUCGGGAUUCAGUAUUAUUUUCCCACCUGAUGAUGCCACCUUGACUCCGCAAGGAAUAGCAUCAGGAAAGCUGAUUAGGACUUCUUCAAAUUGCAUGCCAUGCAACUAUGGCCAUUUCUUGAUGUAGAGCUCACAAUUCUCAAAUCCAAGGAUGUCUUCCCAUAUCUGCCAUUGCCAAGUCCAUAGAGAAAUAAAUUAGAUUCAUGACAUUGAUAUACUUCCCUCUUCUACUGAAUGUAGUAGCUACGAUUGAAUUAAGUAUCAGUCACCAUACAAAGUUGAUCAAAGCUAAAAGUUGACUUGCGCAAGACCUGGCUGUCGAGCACAUUGAAUCAUUAAGCGCCCAAUUACAUCAUGAGCUACCACUGUUUCAACAAGAUCUCCACCAACUAGCUUCACAAGGACCUCAUUAUCAAGAUCACUGAGUUCAACCACUAGGUGGCCCCGAAGUCCUUCCUUUACUUCUGUAAGGCUUAAAACUGUCCUUAGAGCACGGGCAUCACUCUACAUUAAUUUUUUUUGUAUAUUAGGAACUACAGUUUUGAAUCCUAAAAAUGAGUUGCUUAAAAUAUCUAUUGAUCUGACCUGGUCAGCAUUCCCAUCUUCAGCGAGGACAACUAUUGCACGAGCCUUAGAGACAGACACCUACUACAAAUUUACCCAAUGAGCUCAAAAGAUUAUUUAACUUACAAAUUCUGGACAACUUCAGGAACCUUUAUUAAACAAUCAACACGAGACAAGAAGUGUCCUUUGAUGAGAAGCUGUUUAAAAUCAGAAAAGAGAAACUCUAGCGAAAUUUCACGAUAAAGCAUUGCAUGAUAGAAUCAGAUCUCUGGAAGGAAAAUGGCAUUCAAUACAAUGAUAAGAAAGGAAAGAAAGGUUUUUGAUGACAUAAUAAAUGUUUGGAAGCAAAAAAUAAUGCAUACCUUUUUCAGGUCAGCCAAAAUCAAGGGGCUUCCACUUCUGCAUAUGACAGAAAUUCCUCUAAAAUCAAACUACAUUUUAGUAAUAUCAAGUUCCAUCUCUUCUUUAUCUCGCUCAGCCAUGACUACAACAGUUCCCCCCCACCAAACUCUCAUUAGCUAUUGCGAGUUGAUUCAAUAACGAUCCCUGAGUAUACAGAUAUAUUAUUAGUGAAUGAGACCAUUACUUCUUUCGAAUCACUUUAAGUUGCCCAAAAAAUACAGAGUUAUACUAAGAAAUCUCCAGCAAACAUUAGUAAACCUCAGCUGCAUUAUGUAUAUUUUAAGUGUUUAUUUAUUUAUUUUGUAAACUAAACCAAUUUUUAAAAAAUAUUUAAGUUUUUUGCAAGGCCAAGUAGUCAAAGCUCAACAAUUUUUAUCAAUUGUGUUCCAAUUCCUUACAUAAUGAAGCCUGUUUUCCUAGUCAAUCUUGUUAUUUUCAUGGAGCAUGGUAAAUAAUUGGGAAGGGCUUAGAACAAUUGAUAAAAGAUAGCAUCAAUCUACUUGGCAGACAAAUAGGUAAUAAAAAGUUAAUGUAGUUCUUCUGAUUCUACCACACUCAAUUGACAAUUACAGAAAGAAAAGAAUACCUCAAAGGUUUGGAGCUUCUCUCAUUUUCUUGGAGUAAUGAUAGGGGAAAUCUUAAGUAAAAUUAGAGAGAGCUUCUGAGCUAUGCAAAAAUAAGAAAUACCAUACUAGGAGGAUUGCUAUUCCGAUCUGGUGCUAAAAUUAGUCAGCAGUUUGAGGGCAGUUAUCUAGAUAAAGGAAAAUGAACGCCGAUCAUUUGAACAUAUGAGCUUGUGAAAGAACAAACUCUAGCUAAUUAGAAGGACCCACCAGUUUAUCACUCCAACCAAUUAUAAGUGUAUGGUUCUGCUCAACUACUUCACUUCUUCCCUUCCUGAGUGAAUCAAAUUUCUCAGAGAUUGCAUCAAAAACUAGCCCGAGCAUCAUGGCAAAUAUCAGCAUUCCACCAAAACUAACAGAAACUGACACUAGGCGUGGACCAAUGCCUUCAGAAUUAGCAUGAUUUCCUGAAUCUGCAACAUAAGUCCAUGAUAACCAAAGGCAAUUUGCUAUGCUAUCAUCUAUCACGCCAAAAAGUGCUAAGCCACCAAGAAAAAUAAGGAGCAGAGUGGCAACUAACAAGGCCAGUGGUUUAGCAUAAGGAUAAAAUAAUAAGAAUACAUCUACCCGGUAAGCUAGCUACUUGUUCAGAGAUAAUUCUUCUGUGGUACAGUCCGACGGUCUUCUAACAUUAGAGAUAUACUCCAUAUAUUUAAUAAAAACAAGAGGAAGGGACAAGAUCACGAGUGAGAGAAUCAAUGCUGUAGUUUUCAAACUUACACCAGAAAUAUUCUGCUUUGACAUUGAGUCAAUAAUGUCAAUAGAAUCUGAAAUGUUGCAGCGUCUCAGUCUGAUAUUGAGCUUUGAAGCUCAUCCUGAUAUAACGGGAAGGAAAGGAGAAACAGGUAAGUAAUUUAGGGACAGAUCUAGUAAUAUCUUGCAUACAUGUUAGUCAAAUUCUACUUCUCAAAAGCCCAGAAUUGUUGCAUCAAUAUAAAUGUAAUGUUGCACACUUUUAAGUUUACUAAUAACUAAAGAAGAUGAAGGCAAUAUAUUACUACAGUUCCUCAUCAUGAAUAUUACUUGAAUGAUCUUGGAAGAUGAUCUGGAAAAUAAGAGCUCAACCUUAUGUAGAUAGUUCAAAGAGUCUUACUUUUUAUUUAUUUUUUGAGAAGGUUUUAGUUCAAGAGUAUUAUUUGACACAAUUAUACUUACAAAGAAGGUCAAUGAAGGAAUGAUUACCAAUAAACACCGAGAACUCCUCUAUAGAUCUUCAUAUCACCCUGUAUCCGUCCCUCUCUUCAGGAUACCGAAUAGUACUAAAAUCACCUCUAAGUACCCCUGGAAUGUCCCACUCUCCCAUAAUAGUUUUCAUCUCAUCCCAAAAAAAUUUCCUUUAACCCUUCUCUUUCUUUCCUUGCAUAAAUUAUAGUUUCCUCUUGUCUCAUAGUUAAAAAAAAUCCCUCAACAUUCCUGCGAUCUGGAAUAAACUCAUAUCUCACUCAUCUACCUCCCACAAACUUCUUACAAUAGCAUCUGGCAGCCCUACUUUUUCAGUUUCUUGAAAACAUAUAAGAUUGCCCUCAACCCCUUAAACUCACCUUUAUGGUUGCCCUUUUAUUAGGGCCAUUCAACCCCCUCACAUUCCCACGAAAUAAUUUUACUAUCCAUAAACAAUAUCUAUAUCCUUAUCCCCCCUCCCCAAUCAUCUCUCCACCACCCAACUUCUUCCCCUUGCCCUUUAUCCACAUCUCUCACUCUCCACCUUGCCUCCUCUUAUACACUGCAAUUUACCCAUCUCAUGUUGCCCUUCCCCUAUCUUUUUCUCAUUCCCUGCCCUAACCUCACCCCUUUCAACCCUACUAAAAUUUCUUGCUUCUCUUUCAAUUGUCAAUAAACAGCUCUAAUAUUCUCUCUUCCUCCUCCUCCCCCCCAAACCAAAGGAAAAACCCACAAAUUCCCCCAGCUACUCCAUUAAUCUCCUCUCCUCCUCAGUAAUUGUUAACAGUAAGGCAUCUUCCUCCAUUAUCAUCCUCCCGACCCCAUUAUCAUAUUGUCGGGCAUCAACAUACAUUUCUAAACACUUUCUUCAAAUAGAAAAAAUAGAGGAAGAGUUUACCACUUCUAGGACUCUUUCUCUAAAACAACUAUAAAAAGAUUACUCAUUCAAGACAUUUACAGUAGUGCUGGUAGUAACUAUGCACUUCUCUAGCCCCGACAAGCUAACAAUAGGGACCUGGCAACAAAACCUGUUGUGACUGAACUACGUCAUUUUUUGAGUCAAAAGUAGGUUCCUAAUCCUCAUUAAUGAUUCCAAGACUCAACCAACACCUCUACGCAUUUUUCUGACUUGUAAGUGUAUUGAACUAUUUGCUACUUCAACAACCAAGCUAUUUUCCAACAACCAAAAUAGGCCAAAACAAACACAAUAUUUCCUUUAAAACCAGAUUAACUUAUUAAGAAACUUCAUAAGUAGGAGUAGUACAAACCAACCUUAGAAAAAAGAAACUAAAAUGCAUAUAGGAUGUUUAAGAAAAGUGGAGUCAACAAAAAAACCAUUUUAACUUCUCAAAUAAGAAUGAUUACGUAUAAAAUGGGACAAACAUAACCAUAUGAUCAUUAUAGUAUUUUAACCUUUAGAGGAAAUAAUAAUUUUAUGGUCACAGUAAUCAAUGUAACGUAACUUAAAUUUCCUAACACCUUAAAUACAUACAUAAUUAUAAGAGAUAAUAAAUAUUGAUAUUAUAAGUUACCUGCAAAUCGCUAAUUUGACUGUGUAAAGAAAAGUUUUUUUGUACAAGAGAUGUAAAGCAAGUCACCAGUACCUGCAACCAAAAUAUAGCAAAACCAUAAUUUAAUGAUUCAGAAUGUAUUAAGGUGGCAUUUAGUUUGAGAAAUGUUGAAACAACUAACUGAAAAAAGAUUUUGAUAAAAUUCAAAAAAGCUAUUGAAUCUUAUCUAAAGGCUUAAUACAUAGUUUCUCGCCUGAACUUGUAGCCAAAUCCCUUCAACACGCCCUUCCAUCAUGGAAAACGUCUUACACACCAAGUGUUUACGAAGUGCUUCUACUACACACCACUUUAGUUAUGUGUCAUUCAUGUAUCCAACUUCUUUAUUUUUUGCAUUUUAUAAUUUUUCCUUUUUACCAUUUCACACCAAUUUUAAAAAACAAAUUACAAAGCCCUCAUACUUAGUUUUCUUUCCUACCCCACCCUCCUAUAUGACUUCUUCCCUGCCCAACCUUUUCCCCAUAUGUGUCUAGACCUGUCAAAAUAGGCUUAGCCACCGAGGCCGACCCAACCCAGCCCUUUAAUUAAGUGGGAUUGCGCUAAGUUUUUGUGGCUAAUUUAGGAGUGAGACUUUUAGGCCUCACCUCACUAGGCCAUCAACCUCAGAGGCCUAACGCAUGAGCCUCAAAGGCCAGCCCGUGAAUUUAAAAAAUGUUUAAUUUAUUUAUUUGUUUACCAAAUAAAAAAUCCAAAAUAAUUAAACAAGGUAAAACAAAAACUAAAAAGAAUUACAAAGGACAUUUCUAGUAGACUGUAGUAAUUAAGUAUUCAGCCAAUAGUCAUCAGUAAUAUAAUGUAUAACAUGAAUAUAUUAUUUUAUAUAUGAUAUAUCAUAUUCAUAUAUACAUAUUCGUGGCCCUUUGGUCUUCUGAAUUCUCUUUGCUCAUAAGCAGCAUGAAAAGUUAGGGCUAGCUAUUUUUUAUUCUUCAUUUGGUUGAUAUUAAUUAUCAUCGUAUAAUGAAGACUUAUAUGGUUGGUGAAUUUCUAUAAAUAACGCUUCAUUUCAUUAUCAUGUUACGGGUUACUUUAAUUUUUGUUGAAGGGCCAAUCCCUACUAACCCACGCCUGAGGGCUGGGUUGGGCUGCUAUAUUUUAAAGGCCCUUUAGUUAAAAGGGCCGUCCAUCCUAACCUAUUUAACUCUCUAGCCCACUGAGGCUGGGUUAGGCCAGCCCAUUUAAACAGUUCUAUUUGUGUCGUCUUCACCGCUCCCUUUAUUUUUUUAUCUAACCCUCUCCCCCAUUCUUGUCUCCUCCCUUACCCCCAAACCCCGUGCCAGUUUUGUCUUCUUCCUUUCUGCAACCCCCUCCCCUUUUGAUUUAUUUUCUCCCCCAUCAUUGCUCCAGUUUAUAGUUAAACCUCUCCGACUUGUCCUUUUUUCUCGAUAUGAUUAGAUUUCUAAAGAGCCUAAUCAUAAGAGGUGUAAUAGUAGCAGUUGUUAGGGGCUCAGCCCUUUAACUCAAAAAUGGCAUGGUGUCGACAAUGCAUUGUCAUGGAUAACCUUGUUAUGGGUUUAUGUGUGGGACGAGUCAAUCAUGUGGGUAAUGUAGGCGCCAUUACCAAUUUGACAACAAACCCACAAAUUAGUGCGUCGGCCAUGGCACGACAUGGACGCUGGGUGGCACGAGUAGUGGCAUGUGUCAAGGUUAUAUCAGGAGUGGGCAAAUCAAGGCGAACAUAUGGCAAAGGCUAAAGAAAACAACGACAAGGUAACGCAAGACGAACUCUCCAAAAUGGUACGAGGAAAACAAGAGUUGGCAUGACAAAAGCAAAAUGCAACCAAGAUAUGAGGCGAGAUGACAGUGCAUUGGCGGUGAGCGUGUGUAGAAACAUCAGAGGCGACAUAUGUUCAAAGAGUGGGAAACAGUGUGAAAUGAAUAGAAAAAAUUGGGUUGAUAAAAAAUAAUGUACGUUCCAUAUUCUUGUGUUGUAUUUGUAUUAAUUACAUUAUAUAUAGUCUUCUCAUUUUGGAUUAAUUGAACUUUCAACAUGAAUAUUUUACUACUGUGUUUUCUUUUCAUUUUUGAUUUUAUAAUGUGUUACUUGACUCACAAGUGGCGCCAAAGCCGACCUUGAGUAUGUGGAGCU
rnacentral:lncRNA from 1 species